rnacentral:tRNA from 1 species
GGAGUAGCUCAUUUAGGUGAGCAUCUGUCAUAAGUAUGACAGACAGCGGUUCGAUCCCGUUCAGCUCCA